CUUAUCUCUAUUUUGGCUCAGGACUCACUGAGCCCUUCAAGAUUUUUUUUUCAGGGUUGGGUGGAGAUGGAGGUCUCUUGAAUUUUAUUUAGUUAUUAUUAGUACUCUGUGUUUAGUGGACCUUGCCUUUCAAGCAUAGAAUGUUAACAUGGGAAGAGAACCAAGACACGAAACCGUCCAGCCCACUGUUUCAAGAAGAGGAAAUCCACAUCUUGACUUGCCCUGGGACCCCAGAAGUGCUUAGUGGAAGAAUCAGCUCUAAAGGGUCCUGCGUCCUUGUUCCAAGUUGGCUGCCAUCCUCAAAAUCACUUUCCAUGCUAAGUCCUGUUGGCAUGCUCUUGGAGUCCUCUGAUGCAAUUAGUUCACUUCCUCUGCCGAUUGGCUCCAAGCAUUAACUAUGAUUUGCAAGGUACACAUCCUGGGACACCAGGAUCUAAAGGUACAACAGCAGAGUGCUGGAUGGAAAGUGGAACAGCUUGACUUGCUAUGUCACAACCCUCGCCUCACAAGAAACAUCUCAACUGCUAUGCCAAACUUGUGUCCCAUAUCUUGGGCUACUUCAAAUCUAAUUUAACUCCUUGUUCCUUCGGUCUGGGCACAACUGAGUCACUUUUCAUUGUGUUCCUGUGGCAGAGUGUCUUGUCAUUUCCAAAGCAACCAGACAGCAGGAUGGGAAGCAUAGAGUCUUCUAAGUGGCUUCCUUCAAAGCAGUGAUUGUAUCUGAACCUCUUCCUUCAUGGAACUUUCAUCCUACCCUACAACUGAGAUUUGCAAUAUGUUCACUGGACGUAGUUGGUUUUUAAAAUUGAGCUUCAUUAAAAUAGAAGAAUAUUGAAAUCCGCCCAUACUAACCAUACCUCAAGUG